CCCGCACACCUCAUUCUACCAUGUAUGUAAGUGUUGAGCCAGUGUAUGACAUAACCACGCUCCUGAUAUUCUACACCCUUAUUUUCUAUGGAUUACCAGAGGCUGGAUCAAGUGAAGAAAAUGUGGUGUAAAACCUCUCCACACCACAUCCCAAGCUUUCUUGGAAGAAUGCAAGAAAUAGUCCAUACGAUGCUAUACUUCUUAGUAGCCUGGCUCAGCGAAAGAUGUGGCUUGUGCAAGACCUCCCGAGCCCACCUCUUCGAUCUGCUUUCUUGGACCUUCCUUCUCAGGACCCUGUUACUGAAGAAGGACCUGUUAGUCCAGAUA